rnacentral:rRNA from 1 species
GCGAUUUUACCUGCACUAAUGCACCAGAUCCCAUUAGAACUCCGAAGUUAAGCGUGCUUGGGCGAGAGAAGUACUAGGUUGGGUGACUCUCUGGGAAGUCCUUGUGUUGCACCU